CCUACGGGAGGCAGCAGUAGGGAAUCUUCCACAAUGGGCGAAAGCCUGAUGGAGCAACGCCGCGUGAGUGAUGAAGGCCUUCGGGUUGUAAAACUCUGUCAUUCGGGACGAACCGGAGUCUGAGGAAAUGCAGACUCUCUGACGGUACCGGAGGAGGAAGCCCCGGCUAACUACGUGCCAGCAGCCGCGGUAAUACGUAGGGGGCAAGCGUUGUCCGAAUUCACUGGGCGUAAAGCGCGCGCAGGCGGUGAUGUAAGUCUGAGGUGAAAACCCGAAGCUCAACUUCGGGACUGCCUUGGAUACUGCGUCACUUGAGGAUAGGAGAGGCAAGGGGAAUUCCACGUGUAGCGGUGAAAUGCGUAGAGAUGUGGAGGAACACCUGUGGCGAAGGCGCCUUGCUGGCCUAUUUCUGACGCUGAGGCGCGAAAGCGUGGGGAGCAAACAGGAUUAGAUACCCUGGUAGUCCACGCUGUAAACGAUGAGUGCUAGGUGUAGGUGGGCUCAUACCCAUCUGUGCCGAAGCUAACGCAUUAAGCACUCCGCCUGGGGAGUACGGUCGCAGACUGAAACUCAAAGGAAUUGAGG
rnacentral:rRNA from 1 species